rnacentral:rRNA from 2 species
CUUGCAUCAUGAUUUACAUUUGAGUGAGUGCGAACUGGUGAGUAACACGUGGGAAACCUGCCCAGAAGCGGGGGAUAACACCUGGAAACAGAUGCUAAUACCGCAUAACAACUUGGACCGCAUGGUCCGAGUUUGAAAGAUGGCUUCGGCUAUCACUUUUGGAUGGUCCCGCGGCGUAUAGCUAGAUGGUGAGGUAACGGCUCACCAUGGCAAUGAUACGUAGCCGACCUGAGAGGGUAAUCGGCCACAUUGGGACUGAGACACGGCCCAAACUCCUACGGGAGGCAGCAGUAGGGAAUCUUCCACAAUGGACGAAAGUCUGAUGGAGCAACGCCGCGUGAGUGAAGAAGGGUUUCGGCUCGUAAAACUCUGUUGUUAAAGAAGAACAUAUCUGAGAGUAACUGUUCAGGUAUUGACGGUAUUUAACCAGAAAGCCACGGCUAACUACGUGCCAGCAGCCGCGGUAAUACGUAGGUGGCAAGCGUUGUCCGGAUUUAUUGGGCGUAAAGCGAGCGCAGGCGGUUUUUUAAGUCUGAUGUGAAAGCCUUCGGCUCAACCGAAGAAGUGCAUCGGAAACUGGGAAACUUGAGUGCAGAAGAGGACAGUGGAACUCCAUGUGUAGCGGUGAAAUGCGUAGAUAUAUGGAAGAACACCAGUGGCGAAGGCGGCUGUCUGGUCUGUAACUGACGCUGAGGCUCGAAAGUAUGGGUAGCAAACAGGAUUAGAUACCCUGGUAGUCCAUACCGUAAACGAUGAAUGCUAAGUGUUGGAGGGUUUCCGCCCUUCAGUGCUGCAGCUAACGCAUUAAGCAUUCCGCCUGGGGAGUACGGCCGCAAGGCUGAAACUCAAAGGAAUUGACGGGGGCCCGCACAAGCGGUGGAGCAUGUGGUUUAAUUCGAAGCUACGCGAAGAACCUUACCAGGUCUUGACAUACUAUGCAAAUCUAAGAGAUUAGACGUUCCCUUCGGGGACAUGGAUACAGGUGGUGCAUGGUGUCGUC